CAGUCGCCGCGGUAAAACGUAGGUGGCAAGCGUUGUCCGGAAUUAUUGGGCGUAAAGCGCGCGCAGGCGGAUCAGUUAGUCUGUCUUAAAAGUUCGGGGCUUAACCCCGUGAUGGGAUGGAAACUGCUGAUCUAGAGUAUCGGAGAGGAAAGUGGAAUUCCUAGUGUAGCGGUGAAAUGCGUGGAUAUUAGGAAGAACACCAGUGGCGAAGGCGGCUUUCUGGACUGCAACUGACGCUGAGGCUCGAAAGCCAGGGGAGCGAACGGGAUUAGAUACCCCCGUAGUCCCUGUCUCUUAUACC
rnacentral:rRNA from 1 species